rnacentral:lncRNA from 1 species
GCAUUUCACAAGAUAUCGCCUGACAGAAAUCAGAAGUCACAGCGCUCGUUCAACCCGUCGAUCACUUGGCCGCUUUGGACUAGGGGCUGCAACUAACGAUUAUUUUCAUAAUAGAUAAAUCUGUGGUUUAUUUUCUCGAUUAAUCGAUUAGUUGUUUGGUCCCUAAAAUGUCAUGAAGUGUUGAGAAAAUGGUGGAUAGUGUUUCCCAAAACUCCAAGAUGUUUUGUUUUGUCCACCCGCCAAAGAUAUUCAGUUUUACUGACAUAGAGGAGCAAAGAAAACCAGAAAAUAUUCCCAUUUAAGAAGCUGAAAUCAGAGAAUUUAGACUUUUUUUCCCCCGAUUAAUUUAGUAAUCGAUUUACUAAUCGAUUAACUGUUGCAGCUCUACUUUGGACCGUGGCAAGGAAAGUGCUCGAGCAUUAUUUACGACCUUGGCCUUCACCUUGGCUCAUGAUAGCUGUGGCAGUGCGAGUGUGUAAUGAUUGUGCGCUGGCAGGGAGCACAUCCAGCGCAUGACUGAUCGAUAGACGCUCUCUCCCUCUCUCUCUGCCUUUAUUGAUCAGCCAGCGUGUUCCUGCGAGCCAGACUGAAUGGACAGAAAGAAGAAAAAAGAGAAAAAUCCUUGCUCCUCAUUACACCGUGAGCAGUCGGAGCAUUGUCAUGUUUGAUGGGAACCAGCAGCCUUCUGUUCCACGACUCUGUCCACAACGUUGAAGAAUGAAAAACGCACUUAAGAUCUUUGGGAAGGGAUUAUUAUUAUAUCAAAUGCCCUCGUCCCCGUCCAGACCAGACCCACAGUCAUUUGUAAUGUCGCUUAAAAUUUCAGCUCCUGCCAGAGUUAAUUAGUCAUUUUUCUUAACUUCUCAGACCGAUGAAAUGUUUUCAAGAAGUCUAUCUUUAGCUGCUCCGAGCUCCAGAGGUUUGGGUUUAUAAUAUAAUGUAAUGGGCCGGUUUUAUCCCUCAGCAGGCAGCCGACGCAAGGGGCAAGAACAUGAUGGACUGAGAAGUGGACUGAAUUGCCACGUGGAAACAGAACACUAUCAAGCAUUUAGGAACGCACGUGAGAUUGGACAUAUAGGCAGGUUUACAACCAGCUGCCAUGGAGACUGAAACCCAGACACAACUUCCCUUGAUCACUGAGUUGCGACUACUACUGGGAGGUUGUUUGUAGCAGCAUGACUUUCACACUGUGAGUUAUCUUUUCUUUUAUUAUUAUUAUUGCUGUUGAUGAGCACGUGUGGCUGCAUUGUGUUUAUGUGACAUUAGGUGAUUUAGAAGAAAAAGUGAUAAUCACUUCAACAUUAGCAGAUAGUAGAAAAUCAGUUAAGCAACAUGAAUCUAUAAGUUGUGACGUGGACUACAUAUCAACACACAUCGCUCGGCAAUCAGCUUGUUGAAAUCAAAGGGAGAAGACGAUCAAUGCCUGUAUUGAUAAGUCUCUCUUAACCCCUACAUUACCGUCCAAUAGUAACUGUCCCACACUGCGAGCUGAGCUAAACAUACAUAUUUGUGUACAUAUUUUUACUUUGAAGACCUUUGAUCAUCCUCUGUAGCCCUAUUAUUUUUCAUCUGAUUAUCUUAUUUAAACUGAAGUAAUUUGAAAUAUGUUUAAAAAAACAUAAGGUUAAAAAAAGGUAAAAAGAAAACCGCUUUAUCAUAAAUUGCAGGAAUUUCCGUGACAAAAUGAAUCAAGAAAAAUUGUUUAAAGCCAUUCUACUGAUCAGCGUCUCAUUUGUAGUCCAAAACCAAACGAUAUUAAAGCUACAGUGUGUUAUAUUCAGAAGAACUUAUUCACAGAAAUUUAAUAUAUUGUCAAAAACUGUGUUCAUAUAUGAUUAAUCACCUGCAGCAAAGAACCA